rnacentral:tRNA from 1 species
GGCUGAGUAGCUCAGCCGGCUAGAGCACGUCAUUCGUAAUGAGAGGGUCGGGGUUCGAGUCCCUCCCCUGCAGCCA